GAUAAAGAGGGGACCAGACACUUGUUUGUUUGUGUUCCGGAGUCGUUUUUUCCUUCUUUUUCCUCUUCUUUUUCUUCUUUUUCCUCGUAAU
rnacentral:ribozyme from 13 species